AGAUACCUCAGCGCUACCUGGCGGAACUGGAUUUCUCUCCCGCCUGCCGGCCUGCCUGCCACAGCCGGACUCCGCCACUCCGGUAGCCUCAUGGCUGCAACCUGUGAGAUUAGCAACAUUUUUAGCAACUACUUCAGUGCGAUGUACAGCUCGGAGGACUCCACCCUGGCCUCUGUUCCCCCUGCUGCCACCUUUGGGGCCGAUGACUUGGUACUGACCCUGAGCAACCCCCAGAUGUCAUUGGAGGGUACAGAGAAGGCCAGCUGGUUGGGGGAACAGCCCCAGUUCUGGUCGAAGACGCAGGUUCUGGACUGGAUCAGCUACCAAGUGGAGAAGAACAAGUACGACGCAAGCGCCAUUGACUUCUCACGAUGUGACAUGGAUGGCGCCACCCUCUGCAAUUGUGCCCUUGAGGAGCUGCGUCUGGUCUUUGGGCCUCUGGGGGACCAACUCCAUGCCCAGCUGCGAGACCUCACUUCCAGCUCUUCUGAUGAGCUCAGUUGGAUCAUUGAGCUGCUGGAGAAGGAUGGCAUGGCCUUCCAGGAGGCCCUAGACCCAGGGCCCUUUGACCAGGGCAGCCCCUUUGCCCAGGAGCUGCUGGACGACGGUCAGCAAGCCAGCCCCUACCACCCCGGCAGCUGUGGCGCAGGAGCCCCCUCCCCUGGCAGCUCUGACGUCUCCACCGCAGGGACUGGUGCUUCUCGGAGCUCCCACUCCUCAGACUCCGGUGGAAGUGACGUGGACCUGGAUCCCACUGAUGGCAAGCUCUUCCCCAGCGAUGGUUUUCGUGACUGCAAGAAGGGGGAUCCCAAGCACGGGAAGCGGAAACGAGGCCGGCCCCGAAAGCUGAGCAAAGAGUACUGGGACUGUCUCGAGGGCAAGAAGAGCAAGCACGAGCCUGGCUUGGUGGUCCUGGAGAGGAGGAGGAAAUAAGGCUCCCAGUGGGAGGCUCAUGGUACCAGAGUCCUGUCCACUGACUCCAGUGUCCUGUCCACUGACUCCAGUUCUCUCUGCACUUGGCCACUGUCCUGCCCUCUGGGACACCCUCAAUCGCCCAGAGGCACCCACCUGUGGGAGUUCAUCCGGGACAUCCUCAUCCACCCGGAGCUCAACGAGGGCCUCAUGAAGUGGGAGAAUCGGCAUGAAGGCGUCUUCAAGUUCCUGCGCUCCGAGGCUGUGGCCCAACUAUGGGGCCAAAAGAAAAAGAACAGCAACAUGACCUACGAGAAGCUGAGCCGGGCCAUGAGGUACUACUACAAACGGGAGAUCCUGGAACGGGUGGAUGGCCGGCGACUCGUCUACAAGUUUGGCAAAAACUCAAGCGGCUGGAAGGAGGAAGAGGUUCUCCAGAGUCGGAACUGAGGGUUGGAACUAUACCCGGGACCAAACUCACGGACCACUCGAGGCCUGCAAACCUUCCUGGGAGGACAGGCAGGCCAGAUGGCCCCUCCACUGGGGAAUGCUCCCAGCUGUGCUGUGGAGAGAAGCUGAUGUUUUGGUGUAUUGUCAGCCAUCGUCCUGGGACUCGGAGACUAUGGCCUCGCCUCCCCACCCUCCUCUUGGAAUUACAAGCCCUGGGGUUUGAAGCUGACUUUAUAGCUGCAAGUGUAUCUCCUUUUAUCUGGUGCCUCCUCAAACCCAGUCUCAGACACUAAAUGCAGACAACACCUUCCUCCUGCAGACACCUGGACUGAGCCAAGGAGGCCUGGGGAGGCCCUAGGGGAGCACCGUGAUGGAGAGGACAGAGCAGGGGCUCCAGCACCUUCUUUCUGGACUGGCGUUCACCUCCCUGCUCAGUGCUUGGGCUCCACGGGCAGGGGUCAGAGCACUCCCUAAUUUAUGUGCUAUAUAAAUAUGUCAGAUGUACAUAGAGAUCUAUUUUUUCUAAAACAUUCCCCUCCCCACUCCUCUCCCACAGAGUGCUGGACUGUUCCAGGCCCUCCAGUGGGCUGAUGCUGGGACCCUUAGGAUGGGGCUCCCAGCUCCUUUCUCCUGUGAAUGGAGGCAGAGACCUCCAAUAAAGUGCCUUCUGGGCUUUUUCUAACCUUUGUCUUAGCUACCUGUGUACUGAAAUUUGGGCCUUUGGAUCGAAUAUGGUCAAGAGGUUGGAGGGGAGGAAAAUGAAGGUCUACCAGGCUGAGGGUGAGGGCAAAGGCUGACGAAGAGGGGAGUUACAGAUUUCCUGUAGCAGGUGUGGGCUUACAGACACAUGGACUGGGCUGGGAGGCGAGCAAAGGAAGCAGCUGAGACUGUUGGAGAACGCUUACAAGACUUCAUGCAAGCAAGGACAUGAACUCAGAACACUGAGGUCAGAAGCAUCCUGCUGUCAUGACACCGCUCGAGUGACCUUGACCUUGACCAAGUCUGUCCUGUUUAGGACUGAUUUUUCCUAUUAGGCUAGGGUUUGGACCUGAUGUUCUCAAGAUGUCUAGAAUUGCAUGGCUGGCCUUGUGGAAUAGAUGGUUUUGCAUUCCAGCCAAGUGUGCUGUAAACUGUAUAUCUGUAAUAUGAAUCCCAGCUUUUGAGUCUGACAAAAUCAGAGUUAGGAUCUUGUAAAGGAAAAAAAAAAAAAAACAAAACAAAAUGGAGAUGAGUACUUGCUGAGAAAGAAUGAGGGAAGGAGUUGGCAUUUGUUGAAAGUGUAGUCUUUUUCUCUUUUUUUUUUAAUUGCAACUUUUACUUUAGAUUUAGGAGGUCGUGCGCAGGUUUGUUACAUGGGUAUAUUGUGUGAUGCUGAGCUUGGGAUGCGAAUGAUCCUGUCACCCAGGUAGUGAGUAUAGCACCCAGUGAAACUGUAGUCUCAUGCCAGGCACUGUGCUAGCCCACUCUGGCUCAUUUAAUCCUCUCCUAAGAAGAGAGGAGACACAGCGUCCCCAUUUGACAGAUGCAGAAAGAGGUUCCACAGGUGUGCCUUGAUUCUGUCCUAAAACCGUUUCCCGGAAGCUUUUCCUGGUGUGGGCGCUUCUAACCUAAUCCUCAAUCGAUUCCAGAACUAUUACUCUGUUUCCACAGUGAUACUGUGUCUAGGUUUUAGGGAGGACAGUUCAUUGAUGUUACUUAAGAAUGCUUUCCAGGUGGAAAGUUCCUUAAGUUUGAGGCUUCAAAUUCCAUACAGCACAUUAAAAUCCCAUUCAUGAGUUUGAAAUACUGCUCUGUUGUCUUGGAAAUACCAAUCAGAUUGUUGGCUGAAGUGAUGUGGAUAAAGAAGGGAUCUUAGAAAAA
rnacentral:misc_RNA from 1 species